AUUGAACGCUGGCGGCAGGCCUAACACAUGCAAGUCGAGCGGAUGAAGGGAGCUUGCUCCUGGAUUCAGCGGCGGACGGGUGAGUAAUGCCUAGGAAUCUGCCUGGUAGUGGGGGAUAACGUCCGGAAACGGGCGCUAAUACCGCAUACGUCCUGAGGGAGAAAGUGGGGGAUCUUCGGACCUCACGCUAUCAGAUGAGCCUAGGUCGGAUUAGCUAGUUGGUGGGGUAAAGGCCUACCAAGGCGACGAUCCGUAACUGGUCUGAGAGGAUGAUCAGUCACACUGGGACCGGGGAACGGGCCCAAAUCCCAAGGGGGGGCAGGGGGGGGAAAUUUGGAAAAAAGGGGGAAACCCUGUCCCAGCCAGCCCGGGGGGGUGAAGAAGGUCUUCGGUUUGAAAAGCACUUUAAGUUGGGGGGAAGGGCAGUAAGUUAAUCCCUGGCUGUUUGGCCGUUACCAAAAAAAUAAGCACCGGCUACCUUCGU
rnacentral:rRNA from 1 species